AUACGUAGGGGGCGAGCGUUGUCCGGAAUGAUUGGGCGUAAAGGGCGCGUAGGCGGCGCGGUAAGUCUGGAGUGAAAGUCCUGCUUUCAAGGUGGGAAUUGCUUUGGAUACUGCCGCGCUUGAGUGCAGGAGAGGUUAUCGGAAUUCCCGGUGUAGCGGUGAAAUGCGUAGAGAUUGGGAGGAACACCAGUGGCGAAGGCGACUUACGGGGCCGUAACUGUCGCUGGGGCGCGAAAGCGUGGGGAGCGAACAGGAUUAGAUACCCUGGUGGUCCAUGCCGGAAACGGUGGGCGCGAGGGGUAGGGGUCUUCCCCGACUUCUGUGCCGUAGCUAACGCAUUAAGCGCCCCGCCUGGGGAGUACGGCCGCAAGGCUAAAACUCAAAUGAAUUGACGGGG
rnacentral:rRNA from 1 species